GCCUGGGUGGCUCAGUCGGUUGAGAGUCUGACUUUGGCUCAAGUCAGAUCUUGCUCAUGGGUUCAAGCCCCGUGUCAGGCU
rnacentral:tRNA from 1 species